rnacentral:lncRNA from 1 species
UUAUCUCUAAGCUAACUUAGAGUUGAUUCAUGUAUGAAUCCCUCUAUAAGAAGCCGAGCAACCGAUUUAUGCUUCUAAACGAUCUUCAAAGGUUAAAUUGAAUUUUAACUCCGAGAUAGCAACAACAAAAUUGUUUUUCAUUAUUUACAAGCUUAUUAACAACAAAAUCACAUAAUGCCGUAUGGACCAAAAUACAUUAGUCUAAAAGAGGAUGCAAACUUAUUUAAUCAAUCACAAAAACUUAAAAAAAACAAUAUAUAAAAAUAAUAUUAAAAGAAAAAAAGAAAACUAUAUACUUACUAUCUAAAAUAAA